rnacentral:rRNA from 1 species
GUGGCGGACGGGUGAGUAAUGCAUAGGAAUCUGCCCAGUAGCGGGGGACAACUCGGGGAAACUCGAGCUAAUACCGCAUACGCCCUACGGGGGAAAGCGGGGGACCUUCGGGCCUCGCACUAUUGGAUGAGCCUAUGUCUGAUUAGCUAGUUGGUAGAGUAACGGCCUACCAAGGCGACGAUCAGUAGCUGGUCUGAGAGGACGAUCAGCCACACUGGAACUGAGACACGGUCCAGACUCCUACGGGAGGCAGCAGUGGGGAAUAUUGGACAAUGGGGGCAACCCUGAUCCAGCAGUGCCGCGUGUGUGAAGAAGGCCUGCGGGUUGUAAAGCACUUUCAGUAGAGAAGAAUUUCUGGGGAUUAAUACUCCUCAGGCUUGACUUAACCUACAGAAGAAGCACCGGCUAACUCCGUGCCAGCAGCCGCGGUAAUACGGAGGGUGCGAGCGUUAAUCGGAAUUACUGGGCGUAAAGCGCACGUAGGCGGUUUAGUAAGUCGGAUGUGAAAUCCCCGGGCUUAACCUGGGAAUUGCAUUCGAUACUGCUAGGCUAGAGUAUGGUAGAGGGUAGUGGAAUUCCGGGUGUAGCGGUGAAAUGCGUAGAUAUCCGGAGGAACACCAGUGGCGAAGGCGGCUACCUGGACCAAUACUGACGCUGAGGUGCGAAAGCGUGGGGAGCAAACAGGAUUAGAUACCCUGUAGUCCACGCCCUAAACGAUGUCAACUAGCCGUUGGGUUCAUAAAAGAACUUAGUGGCGCAGCUAACGCGAUAAGUUGACCGCCUGGG